GUGGAUUAGAUACCCGGGUAGUCCAUGCCGUAAACGAUGUCUACUAGCCGUUGGGUCCUUUGAGGACUUAGUGGCGCAGCUAACGCGAUAAGUAGACCGCCUGGGGAGUACGGUCGCAAGACUAAAACUCAAAUGAAUUGACGGGGGCCCGCACAAGCGGUGGAGCAUGUGGUUUAAUUCGAUGCAACGCGAAGAACCUUACCUGGCCUUGACAUACUAAGAACUUUCUAGAGAUAGAUUGGUGCCUUCGGGAACUUAGAUACAGGUGCUGCACGGCCGUCGCCAACU
rnacentral:rRNA from 1 species